rnacentral:rRNA from 1 species
GACGGAGGGGGCUAGCGUUGUUCGGAAUGACUGGGCGUAAAGGGCGCGUAGGCGGUUUUUUAAGUUGGGCGUGAAAGCCCCAGGCUUAACCUGGGAACUGCGCUUGAUACUGAAAGACUAGAGGACGAGAGAGGAAAGUGGAAUUCCGAGUGUAGAGGUGAAAUUCGUAGAUAUUCGGAGGAACAUCAGAGGCGAAGGCGGCUUUCUGGCUCGUAUCUGACGCUGAGGCGCGAAAGCGUGGGGAGCAAACAGGG